rnacentral:rRNA from 1 species
GAUGAACGCUAGCUACAGGCUUAACACAUGCAAGUCGAGGGGUAACGAGAGGAAAGCUUGCUUUCCUUGUCGACGACCGGCGCACGGGUGAGUAACGCGUAUCCAACCUGCCCCCAACUAGGGAAUAACCUUGCGAAAGUAAGACUAAUACCCUAUAAUUUCCUCAGAUGCCAUCUGACGAGGAAUAAAGAUUUAUCGGUUGUGGAUGGGGAUGCGUCUGAUUAGCUUGUUGGCGGGGUAACGGCCCACCAAGGCAACGAUCAGUAGGGGUUCUGUGAGGAAGGUCACCCACAUUGGAACUGAGACACGGUCCAAACUCCUACGGGAGGCAGCAGUGAGGAAUAUUGGUCAAUGGGCGGAAGCCUGAACCAGCCAAGUAGCGUGCAGGAUGACGGCCCUAUGGGUUGUAAACUGCUUUUAUACAGGAAUAAAGUUAGCCACGUGUGGUUAUUUGUAGGUACUGUAUGAAUAAGGACCGGCUAAUUCCGUGCCAGCCGCCGCAGUAA